AUUGAACGCUGGCGGCAGGCCUAACACAUGCAAGUCGAGCGAGCGGCGGACGGGUGAGUAAUGUCUGGGGACUGCCCGAUAGAGGGGGAUAACUACUGGAAACGGUGGCUAAUACCGCAUCCUAUCGGCUAACCCAUAUUGGAUUGUCUAGUAGGUGGGGUAAAGGCUCACCUAGGCGACAAUCUCUAGCUGGUCUGAUCGGAUGAUCAGCCACCUUGGGACUGAGACACGGCCCAGACUCCUACGGAGGCAGCAGUGGGGAAUAUUGCACAAUGGGCGCAAGCCUGAUGCAGCAAUGCCGCGUGUAUUAAGAAGGCCUUAGGGUUGUAAAGUACUUUCAGCGGGGAGGCGUUACCCGCAGAAGAAGCACCGGCUAACUCCGUGCCAGCAGCCGCGGUAAUUC
rnacentral:rRNA from 1 species